UACGUAGGGGGCGAGCGUUGUCCGGAGUUACUGGGCGUAAAGCGCACGCAGGCGGUCUGCUAAGUUUGGAGUGACAGUUGGUGGCUUAACUGCCAAAGUGCUUCGAAAACUGACAGACUUGAGGGCGUCAGAGGGACACGGAAUUCCGGGUGGAGUGGUGAAAUGCGUAGAGAUCCGGAGGAACACCAAAGGCGAAGGCAGUGUCCUGGGGAGUACCUGACGCUCAGACACGAAAGCUAGGGGAGCGAACGGG
rnacentral:rRNA from 1 species